rnacentral:rRNA from 1 species
GUGAGGAAUUUUCCGCAAUGGGCGAAAGCCUGACGGAGCAAUGCCGCGUGAAGGAUGAAGGCCUAUGGGUUGUAAACUUCUUUUCUCAGAAAAGAAUUAUGACGGUAUCUGAGGAAUAAGCAUCGGCUAACUCUGUGUCAGCAGCCGCGGUAAGACAGAGGAUGCAAGCGUUAUCCGGAAUGAUUGGGCGUAAAGCGUCUGUAGGUUGUUUAAAAAGUAUUCUGUCAAAGAUUAGGGCUUAACCCUAGAUAGGCAGAAUAAACUUUUAAGCUAGAGUUUGGUAGAGGCAGAGGGAAUUCCCGGUGGAGCGGUGAAAUGCGUAGAUAUCGGGAGGAACACCAAAGGCGAAGGCACUCUGCUGGGCCAAUACUAACACUGAGAGACGAAAGCGAGGGGAGCAAAUGGGAUUAGAAACCCGAGUAGUCC